rnacentral:rRNA from 1 species
GAUGAACGCUAGCGGGAGGCUUAACACAUGCAAGUCGAGGGGUAGGGAAGCAAUUCCUGAGACCGGCGGACGGGUGCGUAACGCGUAUGCAACCUGCCUUAUACAGGGGGAUAGACCAUGGAAACGUAGAUUAACACCCCAUAGGAUUACGGGAUCGCAUGAUUGGGUGAUUAAAAAUGAGGUGGUAUAAGAUGGGCAUGCGUCUGAUUAGGUAGUUGGUAGGGUAAUGGCCUACCAAGCCGACUAUCAGUAGGGGUUCUGAGAGGAUUACCCCCCACACUGGUACUGAGACACGGACCAGACUCCUACGGGGGGCAGCAGUGAGGAAUAUUGGUCAAUGGCCGGAAGGCUGAACCAGCCAUCCCGCGUGCAGGAUGACGGCCCUAUGGGUUGUAAACUGCUUUUGUACCUGAAGAAUAGGCCCAACGAGUUGGGAUUUGCCGGUAAGGUAUGAAUAAGCAUCGGCUAACUCCGUGCCAGCCGCCGCCGGUAA